rnacentral:rRNA from 1 species
GUAAUGUAUGGGGAUCUGCCUGAUGGCGGGGGAUAACUACUGGAAACGGUAGCUAAUACCGCAUAACGUCGCAAGACCAAAGAGGGGGACCUUAGGGCCUCUUGCCAUCGGAUGUGCCCAGAUGGGAUUAGCUAGUAGGUGGGGUAAUGGCUCACCUAGGCGACGAUCCCUAGCUGGUCUGAGAGGAUGACCAGCCACACUGGAACUGAGACACGGUCCAG